GAUGAACGCUGGCGGCGUGCCUAAUACAUGCAAGUAGAACGCUGAAGGAGGAGCUUGCUCUUCUGGAUGAGUUGCGAACGGGUGAGUAACGCGUAGGUAACCUGCCUGGUAGCGGGGGAUAACUAUUGGAAACGAUAGCUAAUACCGCAUGACAACAGUUAUUGCAUGAUAACUGUUUAAAAGGGGCAACUGCUCCACUACCAGAUGGACCUGCGUUGUAUUAGCUAGUUGGUGAGGUAACGGCUCACCAAGGCGACGAUACAUAGCCGACCUGAGAGGGUGAUCGGCCACACUGGGACUGAGACACGGCCCAGACUCCUACGGGAGGCAGCAGUAGGGAAUCGUCGGCAAUGGACGGAAGUCUGACCGAGCAACGCCGCGUGAGUGAAGAAGGUUUUCGGAUCGUAAAGCUCGGUUGUAAGAGAAGAACGAGUGUGAGAGUGGAAAGUUCACACUGUGACGGUAUCUUACCAGAAAGGGACGGCUAACUACGUG
rnacentral:rRNA from 1 species